UACAGAGGUCUCUAGCGUUGUUCGGAUUCAUUGGGCGUAAAGGGUGCGUAGGCGGCGCGGUAAGUCGGGUGUGAAAUCUUGGAGCUUAACUCCGAAACUGCAUUCGAUACUGCCGUGCUUGAGGACUGGAGAGGAGACUGGAAUUUACGGUGUAGCGGUGAAAUGCGUAGAUAUCGUAAGGAAGACCAGUGGCGAAGGCGGGUCUCUGGACAGUUCCUGACGCUGAGGCACGAAGGCCAGGGGAGCAAACGGG
rnacentral:rRNA from 1 species